GUCAUCCAAACAGCUUACCUCUUCGUGGUGGAUGACAGGCAACAGCUUGGAAAUCAAGCUGGCUGAAAGCUGU
rnacentral:ribozyme from 1 species